rnacentral:rRNA from 1 species
AACGAGCGCUGGCGGCGCGCUUAACACAUGCAAGUCGAACGAGAAGGCGUAGCAAUACGCUUGUACAGUGGCGAACGGGUGAGUAAUACGUGGGCGACCUACCCUCGAGUGGGGAAUAACCCGCCGAAAGGCGGGCUAAUGCCGCGUACGCUUCCAUCUUUAUGGAGGUGGAAGGAAAGCCGUGCCGUGGGCACGGCGCUCAAGGAUGGGCUCACGUCCUAUCAGCUUGUUGGAGGGUAACGGCCUACCAAGGCUCCGACGGGUAGCUGGUCUGAGAGGACGAUCAGCCACACUGGCACUGCGACACGGGCCAGACCCCUACGGGAGGCAGCAGUGAGGAAUAUUGCGCAAUGGGCGAAAGCCUGACGCAGCGA